GACUACAGGACAGACCAACAGGUCCCCAGGGCAGACCAACAGGACUACAGGACAGAUCAACAGGACUACAGGACAGACCGACGGGACUACAGGACAGACCAACAGGACCACACGGCAGACCAACAGUACUACAGGACAGACCAACAGGACCACAGGACAGACCAACAGGACUACAGGACAGACCGACGGGACUACAGGACAGACCAACAGGACUACAGGGCAGACCAACAGGACCACAGGACAGACAAACAGGACUACAGGACAGACCAACAGGUCCCCAGGGCAGACCAACA